GAUGCACAGGCAGAGUGAACUCUAGGAUUCAACUGAGCAUGUGUGACCCAUUGAGUAAUCUCAUUGAGACUGUCCUGCCUUUGGGAGUUCUUCUGUGUGUUCUUUGCAACAGGGGAAAUAAUCACCGAUCUGGGUUGACAGGAACAAGACAGUGGCAUAGGAGGUGCCAGCCCUCAUGUCUACAUGGAAACACCUAUUUUAACAACCAUUUGUGGGUGACAAUACCUUACAGUUUAUGGGAGUCCAGGAUACAACUGAGAGGCCCCGCCAAUCAGUCAGUAACACGAGAACAUAUGAAGAAGGAACCAGAGAGAGCUAAACUUACCAGCAUUGGUCAAGUCCCGCACAUUUUCCUUCAGGAUUCCAUGGUCUUCGCAAAGUUUCUCAAACCUUUUCUUCAGUUCUAGACUCACAUAUGGUUUUCGUCCUAUGGGAAGAGUGACAGUAAUGGCUGUGACUUUGAGUUGGACCCUGAUGGAGGCCCUUGGGAAAGGGGACAGAUGAUGGGGAUGGAUGGCACUGACUGGUGCUUAGGCAGAAGGGAGGGAGGGGCUGUCUCCUGUCUUGACUGUGACUAUUUAGAAUAUCCUUCUGCAUGAUGAGAGAUUUCAUCACCUUCCCAUCACUGCCUCGCCUGGGGGUUACCCACGGUCAGUACCUCUCUGCAGGAGAGGAGAAAUGGCCCAGCAGAAGAUUGGGGGAACUUUUAUGUGU